rnacentral:lncRNA from 1 species
GCUCUCUGCCUUAGCUCGCUAUGGCGAGUAAGGUUGCUCGCUAUGGCGAGUUGCAUUGCACAACUCGCGAGGCGAGGAAAAGGGGUUCGCGAGGCGAGCGAUGAAUGUUCAUCACUCGCGAGGCGAGGUUCAUAGCUCGCCGUGGCGAGCGAUGAAUGUCGCUACGGCCAGGCUUCCUAAUUUCACAAAAAUCCGACGAUUCACAUGGUUCUAAGCCUAGUAUUGAUUCCAAAGUUUGUCCUAAACAUAAUCUAAGGUCCAGGAACACUUUCUACAACAGUUUAAUCAAUUCCUACCGUUUAAUCAUCAAUUUUAGGGUUUUGACCUAGUUUUCGUUUUCUCCAAUUCAAUCCUAAUUCUUGCUAACUAAUCAUCAGAAUUACAUUCAAUUAACAAUACUGAGUUAUUAGUCUCACCCUUACCUUAAUUGCAGAAAUCGCAGCUCUCCCUCUUGGUUUCUCUUCUCUUGGCUUUUUCUCCCUUUUUCUCCAAAAACGUACGUACAAUAAUUUUUCUAACAAUUAGGUCUUCUCCUAUUUAUAUCUUUUCUUAAUUACUUAUCUUAUCUCACUUUCUCCCCCAAAACUAUCUAAAAUAUCAAAACAGCC